rnacentral:rRNA from 1 species
UACGAAGGGGGCUAGCGUUGCUCGGAAUCACUGGGCGUAAAGCGCACGUAGGCGGACUCUUAAGUCGGUGGUGAAAUCCUGGAGCUCAACUCCGGAACUGCCUUCGAUACUGAGAGUCUCGAGUCCGAGAGAGGUGAGUGGAACUGCGAGUGUAGAGGUGAAAUUCGUAGAUAUUCGCAAGAACACCAGUGGCGAAGGCGGCUCACUGGCUCGGUACUGACGCUGAGGUGCGAAAGCGUGGGGAGCAAACAGG